rnacentral:lncRNA from 1 species
GAGUGUCGGCGUGCAUUUCCGGAAUAUGCUUUAUAGAAUGCUUAGUAAGGUAUAUGAGGUGGCUCCUUUAUGACACUGGGCCUUUGAUCAGGUAAAUCAGGUUCCAGCACUAGAUUAAGUGCAAGUCUUAGACCAUCAAAUAUCAAUUGACGGAAGUGACAAAAGAGGAAGCUAUAGAAUACCCAUGUCCGAGGAAAAGAAUC